UAACACAUGCAAGUCGAGCGCGAAAGCACUUCGGUGUGAGUAGAGCGGCGGACGGGUGAGUAACGCGUAGGAAUCUACCUGGUAGUGGGGGACAACUCGGGGAAACUCGAGCUAAUACCGCAUACGCCCUAAGGGGGAAAGCGGGGGACCUUCGGGCCUCGCGCUAUCAGAUGAGCCUGCGUUGGAUUAGCUAGUUGGUGGGGUAAUGGCCUACCAAGGCGACGAUCCAUAGCUGGUCUGAGAGGAUGAUCAGCCACACCGGGACUGAGACACGGCCCGGACUCCUACGGGAGGCAGCAGUGGGGAAUAUUGCGCAAUGGGCGAAAGCCUGACGCAGCCAUGCCGCGUGUGUGAAGAAGGCCUUCGGGUUGUAAAGCACUUUCAAUUGGGAGGAAAGGUUCACGGCUAAUACCCGUGAGCUGUGACGUUACCUUUAGAAGAAGCACCGGCUAACUCCGUGCCAGCAGCCGCGGUAAUACGGAGGGUGCGAGCGUUAAUCGGAAUUACUGGGCGUAAAGCGCGCGUAGGUGGUCUGUUAAGUCGGAUGUGAAAGCCCCGGGCUCAACCUGGGAACUGCACCCGAUACUGGCAGACUA
rnacentral:rRNA from 1 species